CGGCCGCGUCGACCACCGGAAUAGCUCCUGGAAACGGGUGGUAAUGCCGGAUGCUCCAGUUGGAUGCAUGUCCUUCUGGGAAAGAUUCAUCGGUAUGGGAUGGGGUCGCGUCCUAUCAGCUUGAUGGCGGGUAACGGCCCACCAUGGCUACGUGUAGCCGGCCUGAGAGGGCGACCGGCCACAUUGGGACUGAGAUACGGCCCAGACUCCUACGGGACGCAGCAGUGGGGAAUAUUGCACAAUGGGCGCAAGCCUGAUGCAGCGACGCCGCGUGCGGGAUGACGGCCUUCGGGUUGUAAACCGCUUUUGACUGGGAGCAAGCCCUUCGGGGUGAGUUUACCUUUCGAAUCAGCAUCGGCUAACUCCGUGCCAGCAGCCGCGGUAAGACGGAGGAUGCAAGCGUUAUCCGGAAUGGUUGGGCGUAAAGCGUCCGCAGGUGGCAGUUCAAGUCUGCUGUCAAA
rnacentral:rRNA from 1 species